rnacentral:rRNA from 1 species
GACGAACGCUGGCGGCGUGCCUAAUACAUGCCAGUAGAACGCGCAGUUUAUACCGUAGCUUGCUACACCAUAAACUGUGAGUUGCGAACGGGUGAGUAACGCGUAGGUAACCUGCCUGGUAGCGGGGGAUAACUAUUGGAAACGAUAGCUAAUACCGCAUAAUAUUGAUUAUUGCAUGAUAAUUGAUUGAAAGAUGCUAUUGCAUCACUACCAGAUGGACCUGCGUUGUAUUAGCUAGUAGGUGAGGUAACGGCUCACCUAGGCGACGAUACAUAGCCGACCUGAGAGGGUGAUCGGCCACACUGGGACUGAGACACGGCCCAGACUCCUACGGGAGGCAGCAGUAGGGAAGCUUCGGCAAUGGACGAAAGUCUGACCGGGCAACGCCGCGGGAGUGAAGAAGGGUUUCGGAUCGUAAAGCUCUGUUGUAAGAGAAGAACGGGGGUGAGAGUGGAAAGUUCACACUGUGACGGUAUCUUACCGGAAAGGGACGGCUAACUACGUG